rnacentral:tRNA from 1 species
UGAUAGAAACCAAAGAGAGGUAUAUCACUGUUAAUGAUACAACUGAGCUUCUGCUCCUAUCAAG